rnacentral:lncRNA from 1 species
UCUAAAGAUUUUUCAAAUUACAAAACAAUACGAACUUGAGAAUCACAAACUGAAAGAAGCCACAGUUGCCCCCAGUUCAUAUUUUGAAUUCAUGUUAGACCAGGUUCAGGUUCUGCUUGGCAACUUUGGGCAAGUUAUUUCACCUCUCGAAGUUGCUACUUUUCACCUGAAAGCGGGGGGCUGAUCAAGCCCACAUCUUAAGCUCGCUAGGAGUUUUACAAGAGGCAAUAAAGGCAAAGCCCCUAGGGCGCAGGACUUGGCACUCUGCAGCAGGGCAGGGAGGCGGGUCCUGACUUCGUGACAGUGGCCACACUCCCAGGCUCACGUGCGCGGCGCGCUGGUCCAGGGAGAGCUCCAGAUCCCUGUGCUGAAGCUCGAAUCCAGUAUGGCUGGUGUCCUUAUAGGAAGAGAGAGAGACACCAAGGAUGUCUGUGCACAGAGGAAAGUGCCACGUGAGGACACAGUGGGGAGGCAGCCACCUGCUGGCCCUAGGGAAUGGCCUCGGCAGAAACUGCACCUGCUGACCCCACGCUCUUGAACGUCUUGCCUCCAGAAGAAAUAGAGGAAGAGAAAAAUCGAUUUCUGUUUAAGCCACUCAGUCUGUCGUACUUUGCCACAGCAGCCCUAGCCAACUGAUACAUAGACUUAUGAACUGUCUCAUAUGAGGUGGGCAGAGCUCUGAGACGACCCCAAUUCCUGCCCUCUGAGGCAGACACAGCUUCACCCUGUUAGUCUAACACAGAUCUAGGUGCUGCUUUGAAGGGACUUUGCAGCUGUAAUUAAGGUCCCAAAUCAGUCAACUUUAAGAAAGAGAGAGAAAUUAUCCUGGGUGAUCCUGAGCUAAUCAGGUGAGCCCUUAAAAGGAACUGCGCUCCUCCUCGGGAGGGAGAUUCAAAGCUUGAGAAGACUUCCCAUGAGGGAGCUUCUCCACUCCUGGCUUUGGAGGUGGAUGGAGCCAUGUUGCAAGGAAGGUGGCUGCCCUGGAGGAGCUGAGAGUGUCCCCCAUUUCACAGCCAGCAAGGAAAUGGAGACCUCAGUCCCGUAGCUGCGAGGAACUGAAUUUGGCCAACAGUGACAAAAAAAGGAGCCUAAGAAGGAGCUUGGCUUGGCCCAUACCUUCAUUUCAGCCUUGUGCGCCCCCAGAGAACCUAGUCAUGCUGGGCCCAGACUACUGCUGGUAGAACUGUGAGCGAUGUUGUUUUAAGCCACUAAACUUGUGGUAAUUUGUUAUUCCAAAAUAGAAAAUGAAGACAUCAAAUUAUGAAUAGAGAUAGGGACACAGAUUUGCAGUGACCUGCGGUGCAAAUGAUAAAGCAAAUGAAUAAAAUGUUAACAAUAAGCAAAUUUGGGUAAAGGGUAUAUGAUUGUUCCCUGUACUACUUUUAUUUUUGUAACUUUUUAAAGUUUG